rnacentral:rRNA from 1 species
UUGGGGUGCUCGAGUGGCGAACGGGUGAGUAACACGUGAGUAACCUGCCCUUGACUUUGGGAUAACUUCAGGAAACUGGGGCUAAUACCGGAUAGGAGCUCCUGCUGCAUGGUGGGGGUUGGAAAGUUUCGGCGGUUGGGGAUGGACUCGCGGCUUAUCAGCUUGUUGGUGGGGUAGUGGCUUACCAAGGCUUUGACGGGUAGCCGGCCUGAGGGGGUGACCGGCCACAUUGGGACUGAGAUACGGCCCAG